rnacentral:rRNA from 1 species
UACGGGGGGAGCAAGCGUUGUUCGGAUUUACUGGGCGUAAAGGGCGCGUAGGCGGUCAGCACAAGUCAAUUGUGAAAUCUCCGAGCUUAACUCGGAAAGGUCAACUGAAACUGUGCGACUAGAGUGCGGAAGGGGCAACUGGAAUUCUUGGUGUAGCGGUGAAAUGCGUAGAUAUCAAGAGGAACACCUGCGGCGAAGGCGGGUUGCUGGGCCGACACUGACGCUGAAGCGCGGAAGCCAGGGGAGCGAACGGG